rnacentral:rRNA from 1 species
ACGAACGCUGGCGGCGUGCUUCACACAUGCAAGUCGAACGGAAAGGCCCUGCUUUUGUGGGGUGCUCGAGUGGCGAACGGGUGAGUAACACGUGAGUAACCUGCCCUUGACUUUGGGAUAACUUCAGGAAACUGGGGCUAAUACCGGAUAGGAGCUCCUGCUGCAUGGUGGGGGUUGGAAAGUUUCGGCGGUUGGGGAUGGACUCGCGGCUUAUCAGCUUGUUGGUGGGGUAGUGGCUUACCAAGGCUUUGACGGGUAGCUGGCCUGAGAGGGUGACCGGCCACAUUGGGACUGAGAUACGGCCCAGACUCCUACGGAGGCAGCAGUGGGGAAUAUUGCACAAUGGGCGGAAGCCUGAUGCAGCAACGCCGCGUGCGGGAUGACGGCCUUCGGGUUGUAAACCGCUUUCGCCUGUGACGAAGCGUGAGUGACGGUAAUGGGUAAAGAAGCACCGGCUAACUACGUG